rnacentral:tmRNA from 1 species
GGGGGCGUCACGGGUUCGACGGAAAUGAUUGCGGCCAGGAGGCAUACCGGGGUGCAUGCACCCGUAAUCGUGUGCAAAAACACAAUUGCCAACACACAGAUGGCAUACGCUGCCUAAUUUGUAGGUAGCCGUUCCUCAUGGCUUCACCCACCGGCCAUGAAAGGACGUCGCACAGUGGGCUGGUUUCAGGUUCUACGUCUGGGAACUUGAGGCGAGAUCAACAGGCUAGCCAAUCGCAUUUCUUGUCCGUUCUUAGUGCGGGUGGCGAACGUGGGGUUAACGACCCCGCAGGAACUGGACUAAGUAUGUAGUCUCCUCGCCAGUAACAUUUUCGGACAGGGGUUCAACUCCCCUCGCCUCCACCA